rnacentral:rRNA from 1 species
GGUUGAUCCUGCCAGUAGUCAUAUGCUUGUCCUAAAGAUUAAGCCAUGCAUGUGUAAGUAUAAACCGAAUUUUUAUUGGUGAAACUGCGAAUGGCUCAUUAAAUCAGUUAUAAUUUAUUUGGUGAAAUAAUAAGAAUAUAUGGAUAACUGUGGUAAUUCUAGAGCUAAUACAUGAAAAGGAAUUUAUUUCCUUUGUAUUUAUUAGAUUAAAAAACCAAAAGUACAAUGUACUUGAAAGGGGUGAUUCAUGAUAACUUUUACGGAUCAAACUUAUAAUUGUUUGACGCACCAUU